rnacentral:rRNA from 1 species
GACGAACGCUGGCGGCGUGCUUAACACAUGCAAGUCGAACGGAAAGGCCCCAGCUUGCUGGGGUACUCGAGUGGCGAACGGGUGAGUAACACGUGGGUAAUCUGCCCUGCACUCUGGGAUAAGCCUGGGAAACUGGGUCUAAUACUGGAUAUGACCUUUCUCUUUAUGGGGUUUGGUGGAAAGUUUCUCGGUGUAGGAUGAGCCCGCGGCCUAUCAGCUUGUUGGUGGGGUGAUGGCCUACCAAGGCGACGACGGGUAGCCGGCCUGAGAGGGUGAUCGGCCACAUUGGGACUGAGAUACGGCCCAGACUCCUACGGGAGGCAGCAGUGGGGAAUAUUGCACAAUGGGCGGAAGCCUGAUGCAGCGACGCCGCGUGAGGGAUGACGGCCUUCGGGUUGUAAACCUCUUUCAGCAGGAACGAAGCGUAAGUGACGGUACCUGCAGAAGAAGCACCGGCUAACUAUGUG